AGCUCCAAUAGCGUAUAUUAAAGUUGUUGCGGUUAAAAAGCUCGUAGUUGGAUCUCGGCAGGCAGGGGGUGGUUCGUUUUAUGACGUUACUGCCCCAUUGCUUGUAUUUCUGACGGAGGUUUGAGGGUGUUCUUCAUCGAGUGUCCUCAGAUGCCGUCAAUUUUACUUUGAAAAAAUUAGAGUGCUCAAAGCAGGCUUUAAAGCUUGAAUAUUCGUGCAUGGAAUAAUGGAAUAGGAGGUCACUUCUAUUUUGUUGGUUUUCGGAAGUUGACUUAAUGAUUAAUAGGGACAGCCGGGGGCAUUAGUAUUCAGACGACAGAGGUGAAAUUCUUGGACCGUCUGAAGACUAACUACUGCGAAAGCAUUUGCCAAGAGUGUUUUCAUUAAUCAAGAACGAAAG
rnacentral:rRNA from 1 species